GUGCUCACUUGAGCAGCACAUAUACUAAAAUUGGAAUGAUACAGAGAUUAGCAUGGCCCCUGUGCAAGGAUAAUGGACAAAUUCAUGAAGUGAUCCAUAUAUAA
ensembl:snRNA U6 U6 spliceosomal RNA